rnacentral:lncRNA from 1 species
GGGGAGGAGUGGAGCACCUCUCGGGCACCUGAGGUUCAACUAGGAGAGGAGGGAGGUGUGUGCGGUGGCCAGAAGGAAGGGGAGGCCCGGCGGAUUCGGCGAGAAGGGGAGGGAGGAGAGAGAGAGCCUCCUGGCGCGGACGGAACCCGCCUCUCGUUGCCAAGGUGUCUUCUUGGAAUCGAAGAAGGACACCUGAGGGACCGUUACUAGCCAGAGAGGUGGCAGCGCCGGAGUCACCGAGGCUGCCGUGCUCGUCUAAGGGGAGCAGAGUCCCCACCCCUGACAGCUUGCCGCUGCUGCCCGCCUGCCGCGCCCGGCGAAAACUCGGAAAGAGAUUUCCACUGGGAUGCCCUGCCAGCUGCCACCUUCAUUCGGAAGGCGGUGUGGGGCUAAAGAUCCUGAGGACGAGGAACGGGAAAGAUUCCUUGCUUUACAGCUGCCGCCCCACCAAACCUCUCCCACAUUCUAAGCAAAGGAGGAUUCCUGGGACAGCUGCUCCGAACAGAGUGGAGGCGGGGUUAAUUUGCGCCUAGAUCGCUGAGGGGUGUUUUUCCUCUCCUGAUCUUCUAAUUUGAAAGUUAGGUUCGCAUCGUUCUCAGUUUAAGAGACCAAUUAUAUGGGGAUAGAAACCAGCACAGGUCAUCAUAAUCUGGGCCCCUCCCGUCCACUCCCACUAUUAAGGUUACUGUUAACAUUAUUAACAGUAAAGCAUUCUUCCUGAUGCAUUAGUGGAAAACAUAUUAUAGAGGAAAGUAGCUUUUCACCCUUAGGGUACUCUUUGAAUCCUUAAGGCCUUAAAAAUAGAUAAUGUUUAAAAUACUCGCAGUUAAAAGAAAAAGAAAAGAAAAGAAAAGAACUCGCAGUUAAAAGGAACCAAAAGGUGGGGUCAAAGAAAAGUUACGAAGUUCUACAGAGAAGUCAGAAGAAAAAUUAUAUUGGUUUGAGAGAGGCAAUAGUUUCCCUGAGAAAAAGUUAUUUGAGAUGGGCUUGGAAAGUGAACUGGAUUUUAUCACAUGGAACUAUGGGAGGAGGGAGGCAGCGUGAGAAAAGAGAGGCACAGGAAUGUCCACUGUAGAAGUUUUAAAAGUUUACAACUUUUUGGAGUUCCAGUCAUGGUGCAGUGGAAGCAAAUCUGACUAGGAGCCAUGAGGUUGCAGGUUGGGUCCCUGGCCUUGCUCAGUGGGUUAAGGAUCUGGCAUUGCCAUGAGCUGUGGUGCAGGUCACAGACGCACUAAAAUGAAUUCAACUGUACCGCAUCUCAUGGUUACAAAUGUUUGUUAAAGAUUUGUUUUCCAUGAGUAGGUUUAAUAUCCCAAAUGUUUUUCUCAUGAUCUGAAAUGAUGACUUGUACAUUGCCAGGGUAAAAGGCAGUAUCAACAGCUUGCCAUUCCUGAAAAUUUAAGCACCUCAGGUUUAUAUUCUAAGUCCUUCAAUGAAUGUCAGCAAAAGGGGGAAGUAGGUGUGCCAGCAGGAGAGAGACAACUUUCACUUCACUGUUAACGCAUUCGGAAGGAGGAAGGCAGGCAUUAAGCCUGACUUCUCACAGAAUCUUGUUGCCUGGGUUUGGACAAAUAGUUUAACCUUGAGUAUGUUAACAUAUCUGGCGAAUAAGUGCUAGUAGAAUAUUCACUAACAAAUAAAUGUCCUCCAUUGAGAAGAAACAGAUAAUAAUAGUGAAACACCCUAAACACAGAGUGGUCACAGGUAUUCAAUCUAAAUGAUCUAAGGUUAAGUUUUGUGUCUGUCAUGGAUUUGUCAGCUCCCUAUUAACGCUGUUCUACUGGUGAAACAAAAGGAGACAUAAGACAAUUAGCCAACUGUUGUUUACAAUUUUUCAGAAUUAUUCAGUCUCCUGCUUUACUUUGCCUCUGGUUACAGUAAAAUAGUUGGCAAUAAUCAGAGGUUCACUGCAGAAGGAAGGACGAGGAAAACUUCACUUCUAGCUAAGUCACAGUUAAAACAACAGUAGCUGUGGAUUAUCGUGUAGGUGUGAAGAAUACAGCCGUUCAGUUCCCCCUCAUGGCUCAGCGAUUAAUGAACCUGACUAGUAUCCACAAAGAGGAGGGUUUGAUCCCUGGCCUCACUCAGUGGGUUAAGGAUCCAGCAUUGCCAUCAGCUGUGGUGUAGGUCACAGAUGCGGCGCAGAUUCUCCGUUGCUGUGGCUGUGGUGUAGGCUGGCAGCUGUAGCUCUGGUCUGACCCCCUAGCCUGGGAACCUCCAUGUGCCCAGGGUAUGGCCCUAAAAAGACAAAAAAAAAAAAAAA